GCCAAGAGAAUGAUAUCCCAAUACCAAAUAUGGAAGAUAGUGUACCAAGAUUUGGUAGAUCAAGGAAAGGAGGGAGAAACAACAUCACUCAAGAUCAUUACUUUCGUGUUGAUACCUUCUUUGCUACCAUAGAUGCUAUCACAACAGAGUUUGAUCAUCGAUUCAAUGAGGUAUCAUCGGAAUUACUUACUUGCUUUGCUUGCCUUGAUCCUAGAGAUUCGUUCUCUAACUUUGAUGUGAAUAAACUUGCUCGCCUCACGGAUAUAUAUUUGGAUGAUUUUUCUUUUGAUGACCGGAAAAGAAUAAGAGACCAGUUAGAAACCUUCAUUAUUCAUGUUAGAAGAGUUGAGGCAUUCAGAGCUUGUUAUGACCUUGCAAGCCUAGCAAUGAAAAUGGUUGAACUUAAGAGGCAUGAAAUAUUUCCCUUGGUUUAUCGCCUAAUUGAGCUGGCAUUGCUGCUACCAGUAGCAACUGCAUCAGUUGAAAGAGCAUUUUCAGCCAUGAAGAUUAUUAAAACUGAGUUGCGGAACAAGAUGUCUGAUGGUUGGCUUAAUGACUUGAUGGUGGUGUAUAUUGAGCGGGAGAUAUUUAAAGGAAUUGAUCUUGAAUCUAUCAAGAAGGCUUUUCAGAAGAAAAAAGAUAGAAAUAUGCAAUUGCCAAAGUCUCCUAGACGCAACUAAUAAUAAAUAUACCGCUUCUUUGGUCCAAUUGUUGAUUUGAUGCGUACUUUACGUAUUUUUCUUCAUUUGAGUCCGCCAGUCCGCAGCCGUAGGCUCCCGCCCCGCAGCCCCGCAGGCCCCGCGCCCGCCGCCCCGCAGCCCCGUCCGCCACACCUAAAAUUUUCGGCGUCCUCCGCCACUGAAUCUGGUACGAGAUGGAUAAACCCAAUAUAAUGCACUUUUAUUAACACCACACCAGUGUCAAUCCCUUUUCCCAGCCCUCGAAACCAUGUACCCAUAGGCACAAACAGAACAACACCAAGAAGAAAGAUCAUCCUCUCACCCUAGGCCUCAGCCAAGGAAUGACAACGUGGCAAUUCCCCAGCAGUGGGCAGGGAAUCGAGCCCUCCACUGAUUCCAAUCUAGAAGUGAAUUGUCCCCAAUAUAUUGUGCAAAAAUAAAUUUUGGUUAAUAAUAGGUGCAAGUCACCAGUAACAAUCAAAUCAGAUUUCAUCUACUAGCUGUUAACAUUCAGACAACCUAUAGUAAAUCACUUGAUGUGUUAGCUGUAACCAUCACCACGAUCUUGCAUAUCUAUCUUAGACCAACCAAUUCAUGACAAUUUUUUAGUUCACCCAAUAUUCAAUGUCAUACAAAAUAAACAAAGUUAUCACACCGCUAUGAUUGAAACAUAGUAGUUGAGUUGACAACUAUUGAUUAUUGAUAAAGUAGUUUUAUAAUGAACUCCAUAAAACUCUCACUACUGAACUCAGAACUGUGUAUGUACUGUCUUUGUGCGACUUUUAGUUCAGAUAGAGUGGAAUAAAUGGCUAGGCCAUGACCCUCAGAAAACAGAGUAUAUGAUCAGUCAUCAGAAACCAAUCACGGGAGACUGAAGAUACAAAAAAUAUAUAUACUGACAUGUAAGUUCAAUCAUUUUCUACUUGAAGCUAUUUCAUAAUAACCAUAUCAACCAAACAACAUAUUUUACCCACAGAAGCAAGAUGUGCUUGGCAGUAUAAUUUAAUAAAAGGUAUCAAUUUUUCACCUGAACUGCAGUCAUAUUAGAUAAAGAUUAAUUAAACGUUAGUAAAGACAAUACAGCUUUUAACAUCCUUUUA